UACGAAGGGGGCUAGCGUUGCUCGGAAUCACUGGGCGUAAAGGGCGCGUAGGCGGCGUUUUUAAGUCGGGGGUGAAAGCCUGUGGCUCAACCACAGAAUGGCCUCGAUACUGGGACGCUUGAGUAUGGUAGAGGUUGGUGGAACUGCGAGUGUAGAGGUGAAAUUCGUAGAUAUUCGGAGGAACACCAGUGGCGAAGGCGGCUUACUGGUCCAUUACUGACGCUGAGGUGCGAAAGCGUGGGGAGCAAACAGG
rnacentral:rRNA from 1 species